rnacentral:lncRNA from 1 species
CGGAAAUGUAGCUGUAUGCCUGGAGGGAUAUACAGCCAGACCAGGCUCACUCCACCCAGUCCUGUGACUCAUGACUCAACUGGUCCUGUGGACCCCCAAUCAAGAGAUGGACUCAGCUCAUGUGGACCAUUUUCCAUACCCCUAUGACUGCCUCCGCAACCAACGAGCAACACCCAUCACCUAGUCACCUGCCCACCAUACUAUCCUUGAAAAUCUCUAAUCUUCAAGCCUUCAGGGAGACUGAUUUGAGUAAUAACUCUAUCUUCUGUGUGUCUGGCCUCGUGUUAAUUAAACUCUUUC